ACAGCAGCCAGGGAUAGCGAAGGUGG
rnacentral:piRNA from 1 species